rnacentral:lncRNA from 1 species
UGAUGCGGGACAAUCCUAAAAAAAAAAUCAAUCCUAAUAAUCAAGCUCUCUUCUGUUCAUCAACAACAAAUCACGUCCGGCCAAGGGCUCAUUAUUCCCAGGACAGACAGUAUAGUUGCCUAUACUCUGCUCAGGAGGCGUGAUUGAUUGAUACGAGACUAAAGCGAGAUCAAUCUAAAUGAUACAGACGAAUACCAUUCGAGAGAUCAGUAAACAAUUAGUAAUAAAAAAUUUCAUAAACAGAUAGCAGAAAUUAAACAUGCUCACGAGUAAAUGCAAAAAAAGAAAUAAGAAUGGAACGAGAGAAAAUAAAAAUAUUAAACCC